rnacentral:misc_RNA from 1 species
CAAACAAGAUGGAUACGUACAUUUGACAGGAGAUCUGCCUACCCUUCUAACAUUCCUAUUGACACCACAGAAACAAAAUGGCAGAGAAACCCGUCAUCGCAGAUUUAGACAGUAAUGGAAGCGACGAAACGGUCGGACAGGACGAAGCAGAGAUAGCCUUGAACGGCAUGCACAUGCUGUUGAAUAACGGGUUUGACGAGGCACAAGCACUGUUCGAGAGAUACAAAAAUGAGAGUGCCCUGAUGCAUGCUGGCUAUAGUUUUGUCUACUUCAUGCAAGCAUUAAUGUCAUUCGAAGAAGAACGAAUAGAUGAGGCAGUCAAAGUUUUACAGGAAACAGAGAAGGCAUGCAACACAGAUUCCGGCAUCUUCAAAUCACUGAGGAAAAAAUUAAGAUCCAAGAAAAAGAAAGAGUCGGAGCAGCAGGUGAGUGUAGAGGAACGUAUCCAGCGUCAGGUUGUGGUAGCUGACUCGCUACUGUACCAGUCCAUCUUAGUAAUGACUAGCCAGGACAUCGCCGGCUACAUGAAGGGUGGCUGGCAUCUGCGCAGGGCAUGGAAAAUUUAUGAGAAACUCCACAAGGAGGUGAUCAGUCUACAGGAAAAGCAAGCCAAACUCAAACACAGUCGGUCAAAAAAUAGUCUUCCCCAAAAUCGUGUGAACGCCACUCAGGAAGGGGCUUACGAUGACAAUGAAAAUGAACUCCCAGAGGAGGUUUUGUCCCGUCUUUUGGGGGCUGUUAACUUUGGAUUUGGAACAUUCCAGCUGUGUAUAUCCAUGGUCCCGCCUAAAAUUCUAAAAUUGAUCGAGUUUCUGGGAUUUGAGGGUGACCGUGUAGCGGGACUGGCAGCGUUGGAUCAUACUAGUCGUAGUAAGGACAUGAAAGCACCCCUAGCAACACUUGGGUUGCUAUGGUAUCACACUGUGUUACGACCUUUCUUUGCAUUGGAUGGGGCUAAUGACUGCAGUGCUGGCACAGAAGAUGCGGAACAAAUCAUUGACAGUAAGGAGCGUGAGUUUGAGCAUUCCUCGCUGUUUCUCUUCUUCAGAGGCCGUAUAUGUAAAUUACGGCGGAAGUCAGAUGAAGCUAUGACAAUGUAUUCUCAGGCAUUAGAGGCCGCUGCUGGUCAGAGGGAGAUUGAACUCAUGUGUCAGUAUGAAAUAGGUUGGUGCAAUUUGAUGAAGCUCAACUACAGUGAAUGCCUCAACAACUUCAAACGGUUGAAGGAUGAAACCAAGUGGUCAAAAUGUUACUAUACAUAUCUCAUGGGAGUAUGUCUGGGUGCUAUGGGAGAUUUGCUUGCUGCUGAGGAGACACUGAAGAAGGUACCAGGACUCCUCAAAAAGAAGAACCACCAAAUAGAGGCAUUUGUCUCUCGAAGGGCAGAGAAAAUCAAAAAGAUGGUGUUGACUCAAGAGUAUUGUCGACUUUUAACACUGGAACUGGUCUUCCUUUGGCAUGCUCUUCCUACCUGUACUCCGACGGAACUCCAACCCUACCUCAAUGUUUGUGACAUGCAGACAGAUAUCAAGUCCUUCCACCUGAAGUGUCUCCUGGAGGGAUCUGUGUUUAAGGAGCUUGGUGAAGAGGAACUAGCCAUCCAGUGUUUAGAGGAGGCCAUAGCCAGACACCAGGGUAUGAAGGACGAUCACCACAUAGCAGCAUUCGCCAACUACGAAUUGGCAUCCAUCUAUAUAAAGAAACCAGAGACUGUGGCAAAGGCCAAAUCCUUACUCCAGUAUAUCAAGGAUACGUACAAAGAUUACGACUUUGAGAACCGCCUGACUGUGAGGAUCAACAAUGCUUUAAGAAAGCUAAAGGAAAACGAACUUUCGGCUUAAAGGAAGGAACUUACCAUGCACCUGUAAACCAGGAAAAUCUUCAUACUUCCUUCCAUACGUUUCUGUUUUACUUGAACAAGUGUGGGUUAGUUAGUUCAUUGGGAGAUGUUGUUCACAGACAUUUUAUAUGGUUGAUAAAGUUGAGAUAAAGAUUGUUAAACACAGCCAAGGUUACUAAGGUUGACUGGCUAGGUUACCCUGACAAUGACUCUACACUAUGUAUAGCGUAACCAUAGAAACCUACUGGGGGGGGGGGGAUCUAUAAUCCUCGGAAUUAGGGGAACAGGAGAGGUAUAGUCCCAUGGAUUUAUCAGCUUCUUGUUAUAGGGAUCAUUGCAAAGGGGGCAGGACAAAUCUAUGGUUAUUGGGAUCCCUGUGAGGGGGCAGGUCAGAUCUAUGGAAGGGUAUGAAGUUUACCUAUUAGUGAUUUUUUAUGCACUAGUAUCAUUUACUCAAGAGUAAAUUUAUAAAUAGAAAAUGUAAAAUAUUGCUAUCUGAUGUCGUUUUAUUUUGAUUGUUAGCUGUUUGCUUUUGUAAAAAGAAAUACUCAAUAAGUUAAAUGAAAAUUUGCAUUUGAGGGAAAUGAAAAUUCAGGUUAAGGAUGUAUGCUAUCAUACUGUAUCCUGCAUCCCAUUUUAAAAGAGUUCUACAUUAAAAGUUUAAGAAGCUUGUAUGAAAUUGGUCAUUUUGAUUUAUUGAUAAAUUGAUAAAGCAUAUGAAAUGUGCAAAAUAAUAUCUCAUGCAUUGAAAACACUAGGGCUAUUAGAGAUUUCUUUUAGGGGGAGAUAACUGUUCCACAAAUCAAAGGUAUAAAGUGAAAGGUAGCAUAUAGCCUUAACUGAUAAAUCUUAUGUCAGCUGAUGUACCAAUCAUAGAGGUCUCCCACCCAAAUUGUUAUUUGUCCCUGUUUGACGUAAAAAGUUAAGGUCUUGUGGCACUUUUGCCAUAGAUUUUGCUAAUUGUGUGUGACUGUCAUGCUGAAAUAUUUUGUUAGGAGUAAUGUUUUCUGCAUGAAUUGUUCAAUGAUUUGUUACAAAAAUGCAGUUAUGAUUUUUGUGAAAUAUUUUUAUUAGGUUUGACAACAUCACAGUAUUAUCCAAUUUUGAAGAUGCCUUUAUUGUUGGUAGAGUAAGAGAAAGUUGAUUGGUUGAGAGCAUUAACAUAUCACCAAUGAGAUCCAUUGUUACAUAAAUAAGGUAUAUCCUGUCAUUUUACAUGACCUUUGACCCAUAUUAUCUGAAUCCAUUAUCAUACUCCAUAUUAAAUUGUCUACCUGGCACUGCAGGCUGACAAGUUGUUUUUUGGAUCAAAAACUUUGCAUUUGAUUACAUGUCCAUCUAGUUAUUGGAUUGACCAUAUAGUAACUUACGGAUCCGCUACAUGCCAACAAGUCACCAAAGAGCAUUGACAAUAUAUUGUAUGACAACAGUAGUUUGUUUUUCCUACAGUGGCUCAAAGCUACUAAAUAUUAAUGCAACUUAUGGUGUGUUAAACGAUGACAAGACACAACACAAAUUUUGUUUCCUCCCAAAGGGCCUAUCCUGGUGAAGAGCCCAGGGCCUGCAUUUAUGAAACCGUUUUCAUGCUCAAACUCAGAUUUUGUGCUGAAAUCCCAUUUUGUGUUCCAGUGAUAAAGUUAUAAGAUUUCACAUUAUGUCAAGAAUUUUCGAGAGACAUUCACUUAAAUAGCAUUUUUAGUGUCAAGACUUGAAUGUUUGACCUAAUAGUGUCUCAUGAUUUACCACAGUAUGUAAGUUACAAGAAAGCUGAUUUGAGCACAGAAUCCAUGCUUAAGCAUAAAAACAGCUUCAUGAACACAGGCUCUGAAGAAUUAUAUGCUGGGAAAGCUAUAAUACUUAAAUCAGAAUGCAGGCUCUGAAAAUCCUUCUUACUGGAGGGUCAACCCCUCCAAAAUGGAAAGCAAUCUGCCAAUUGAAAUGUUGUCAUAGCUAUAGAUUCUCAUUGCCUUUGGUCACAUUGAGAACUGUGAUAAGAUAUAUAUUAUUAUUUAGAUGUUUUUGUAGGUUGUGCUUUUAUACAUACAUAUAUAUAUAUAACCAAGAUAUAUACACCAUUAUUCUGUAGCUAGAGUUGUUCCCCUUAUAUUACUUGAUAAAAGAGGAACUUGUGAGUGCUUUUAUCUAAAACAGCCUAAACGUUUUAGUGCUUGUUACAGCACUUAAGAUACUAUCUAAAACCACCUAUUUAUUGUAAGUAUGACAGAAAGACCGCUGUUUUAAACCACCUAGACCUUUCUAGGGUUUGUGGGGGAGAGACAUUUUAGUGCUUGUUAUAUAUAAUCACUGUUAAAAUACUAUUAGGCGGACCUGCAAAUGUUUAUGCAGGCCUUGCAAGCAUUUGUCAAGGCUGGCCUGAAAGCAGCUUCAGAUUUCUAGGUCCGACCUUAUUUAAUAAACGAACAAUUAUGGUCCGACCGGUUCAACCGUUUAAACGUAAACGGCCAUGGACAUUACUUUGUGUGUAUAGUAUACUGUAGAGUAGCUUCCCUUUGUUUAAAUGCUCAUAUUAAUUGUACGUGUCGUAAUGUUGUUUGGGACCAUAGAACAUGAAGGAGAACAAGGUAUCCUAUAAGAAAAUGAUCAGGGACCAAGAUUUACUGAGUUAUUCAGGUUCAAUUAUAGAUCAGGUAAAAACCAAGUCAUUCUUAUGCUUGCUAUCAAAAUUUGUUUCGACCCAAAGUUUUUUUUAUCAUCAUAUAAAUCAUGCAAAAGAGUGUGGAAUUUUGUAUCAGAGAAAACUAAGAAUUAUGAUGAUUGGCAUAAUUUGAAGGAAAAAAAUUUGGAGAUUGUAAAAUACAAAUUUCCACUUAAGGAUUGAUUCAGGAGCUUAACUAAAAUAAGUCAUUAUUCCAUAUGGAUAUGCUUAUGAGGUGCAUAUUGAUGAAUACAGGGUAAAAUAUUGUAUUUGCUAUGAUGUAGAUGUGCCAUUCUUACCGGUGGUUUUGUCCAAUGUCUUCAUGUCACCGUGGUGUUUUCUGUCAUUUUAGUCUGAGAAUGUAAAUCUGCAGUAAGUUUUGAAUCUUUGGACAAAAAUAAAAAACAAGAAUUCAACUUUGUUACUGAUUCUAUAUGAAGUGUGCUAUAUAACCAUGACUCCCUACUUCAAGAACAAAACAUUAAUUUAUUUGUGAAUAAUAAUCAUGACAACAUGCUUCAAGUCCAAAAUUUGGAUGUAAAAUAUAUCUUAUCCUGACUAAUGAAUAACUUCAUAUUAAAUUCUGUACAACUGUAUGUUGUCUGGUAGUAGAUUAAACGAAUAUGAUGAUGUCAUAUUUUUGUGCUGAAAUAAACAUGACAUGUAAGUAACCGAUGUUUGUGUCAGUUUUGUAAGCAAAUUUCUUGUAUUAACACAACUUACACAAAGCUUUUUGUUAGUUAUAAUUUUUUUUUUUUUUUUUUUUUUCAUCUUGUACAGAUUUGCAGAAUCAUAAUAAGAGUUUAAUGCUAGCUUGAAAAUUACAUAGAAAUAUUAUGAGUUAACUGCUUCAUACUAUAUGCUUCAAUGCCUAAAUUAUCUCCCCUGUUACGCUACCUGCCAACUUAUGCUCUAUCUAUGAGAUACAGUACUGAUCUUGUACCUACUUGUAUAUGUAACAUUAUAUACAUGUAAGUAAUAUCUCUGUCACUGUCGUUAAUAUUGAACCACAUUAAUUUCAACUCUUGUUUUUUGUUUAUAUGUUGAGAUUUGCUAAGGUACCAGUAAUUUACUAACGUGGUAUUAAGUCAUUCAGUGUUUGCUUUGUAUAAGAAUUUUUUGCUUUAGACAAUUUGAGUACUGUGUAUGUACAGCUCACCAGAUGCUAUUACUGAUAUAUACAUAGUGUAUGUAUGUUUGUGAGAAUCAAAAUUGUCUCCCUUUUCAUUUGGUGUACCAAUAUAUUAGUUUUGGUAGCGCGACAGAGACACAGAAAUAUGAUAUGUACGAUACAGUACAGGAGAACUAUACAAUAGUAGAAGAGGAAAUUAUUGCAGUGUGAAAAUGUUUAUGUUUUUGUGUUGAGUAAAUGAAGGUGAAAAUACCUGCGCACGAAAAUUUCCACAUCGUGUACAGUUCCACACACGAAAGUUACCACUUUUAUAGUAUUUGAAAAAGGUUUGAGCAUGAAAACUGUAAUACGAAAUAAAGUAUAAACAUACAUUUAAGAAAACCUAUACAUGAUAAUACACUCCAUACGCUAAAAUAUUUACUAGAAAGCAAUUCAUGUUUCCAUAGCAACAUGAUUUGGCCAGACUGCCUUGGUCAAUCUGGUAUGUGGAUUUCUGGGAAAUAAUUUUCUUCAAAAUUGUAAUUGAAUUUAGUUACAAUACUGCAUACCCUGAAUUUUAAUUUUUGAUUGGUUUUUGAUUUUCAGAAUUACUUGUUAACUUGUGAAAAAUGUAUUGGCAAUUGGUGUAUUUUGUUCUACCAAUGGACUGAUAAAGAUUUUACCAUUUGAAAAACUCCUUUUCCAAGUGAAGUGCAGAACUCUGUUUUGUCCAUAAAUAAUUUUGAUAUUACUGUUCUUCAUUGCUAUACAUAAUGCAACCUUUGUAAAACGAGUUAAUGCUUCAGUGUUUAAUCUGUCUCUGUGUAAGUUCUGGUUAUGUACCCAUCAGUCAUGGUCGUAAUGUUGAAAGCACUGCCUGUAUCAGCUCUCAUGGUUUACCUUGCUAACUACUAACAAACCAUGUUUGACAAACAGAAAAUUUACCAGAUAUCAUUCCACAGCUUGCCUGUUUGGUGCUAUAUCAAUAAAAAUGAAAUUUUCCAUAAGAAAAAAACAAACCAUUUACAUCUUUUUUCAGUUAAAUAAUAAGCUAACAAUUGGAAUCAAACUGAUUGUCCUACCUUAUCGCCCCAGAGUUGCUUAGACCGGGAAUAUUUAAACUGCUAAAUCAAAUUAAACAGGGUAUAUAUUGUAGAUACGUGCUAUUAGAAAUUCAAAUUUCUUAACUUUUUUUAUGGAGGAUAUUGGAACCUUUUAUUCAAGGAGAGUUAUAAGUGAUAUUUUUAAUGUGGGGAAUAAAUAUAUUUAAAACCACCAGUAAGUUCACUUUUUGAACUGAAAGUCUGUAUUGUUUUGAUCUCCAGGGAACUGUGUGUGAUCUCCUCUUUACCACAAAGUUAACACAGGGUACAGCAUUCACCAACCUGAUCUCGCUGCUGUUCCAGGUCUUGGAUCAGAGCACAGCGUUCACCAACCUGAUCUCGCUGCUGUUCCAGGUCUUAGAUCAGAGCACAGCGUUCACAAGUUCAGAUGGCCAUAUCGUUGCCAGUCAUUAUUGUCCUUUCUCAUCAACGCUACAUCCAAAUUUAAAUAUCUUCUUGAUUUUGCAUAUACUUCAUCUGCUGUAUUUAGUAUUCAUUAUCAAAUUCAGCUUCAUGUGAAUUUAUCUUUGUAAAAUAUAUACAAAUAUUUAUACCACAUUGAAAGUUUGCACAAAUUUAUAUACAAUUACCGGUAAAUCAGAUGGUUUCUAGGCACUGUUUUGACAUUUGAAUAUUAUGCAUGUGUUUAUAAUCUGAAAAUUAUAAACUACCAUUCCUUGUAAAUAUUCAUAAGCCUACAUUUUAAUCUCUCAGGCACCAAGAUGGACCAAUUAAAGUUUGUUUUAUGACAGCACUGUUGUAAACUUUCGAUGUCUGAAAUCUGAUUCUGUUAACCAGAUUAUGCAGUGGUACAUAUGUAUUAUCCAUAGACCAACCCAGUUUCAUUUUAAGUUGGCCCCAUCCCCCUUCAAACCAGAUUGCUUGACAUAGUAUGUUUAAUGGGAGGUGAAGGGGAGGAGUAUAUAAAACAGCACGUCUUAAAAAUAAUUCUGAGACGAACCCUCUAACCAGGCCAUGCAUGGAUCUCCUUAUUUCUAUUAUCUGACUUCUAAUAAAGUGAAACUACUUUUUGUUAUAACUGAUCCCACAUAUUAUAUCAUAAUCAUGUAUAUUGUACAUAUCAUAUUAACUACUUCUUUUUAUGAACACCUCUUUUAACCUAAAUGUAUAAAUGUCAUAUUUGAUGAUGAAUUCUGACCCUAAUUUUUGUGUUGUGAUCAAUUUAUUUUAGAGUUUCCCCUUUGUGACCCCAAAAGGCGUACAUGGUUUUACAUUCUCUGUUUUAGGAAAAAACCCUUUCCGGCCUCUAUUUCUAGUGUAGUUUAUUUUCUUAAAUGUGUGUUAUCUGGUCCUCCAUGUAUUUAAGUUGUAUUUAUCUACUCAUACUUAUCAAGUUUUUCUGAAAGUAAUAUUAGAGUGAUCUACUUUGAAUUAAACAGUUCUAAAACAAAAGUUGUUAGUGUGCAAACAGUAUGUCUGUAGAAUUGAUAGAUAUGUGUUGAAUUGAAAGUGAAAAUAUGAUUAAAAGAAAUUCUUAAUCAUGAAA